ACUCCUACGGGAGGCAGCAGUGGGGAAUAUUGCACAAUGGGCGCAAGCCUGAUGCAGCCAUGCCGCGUGUAUUGAAGAAGGCCUUCGGGUUGUAAAGUACUUUCAGCAGUGAGGAAGGUGGGUAUGUUAAUAGCAUACUCAUUUGACGUUAGCUGCAGAAGAAGCACCGGCUAACUCCGUGCCAGCAGCCGCGGUAAUACGGAGGGUGCGAGCGUUAAUCGGAAUUACUGGGCGUAAAGCGCAUGCAGGUGGUUUGUUAAGUCAGAUGUGAAAGCCCGGGGCUCAACCUCGGAAUUGCAUUUGAAACUGGCAAACUAGAGUACUGUAGAGGGGGUAGAAUUUCAGGUGUAGCGGUGAAAUGCGUAGAGAUCUGAAGGAAUACCGGUGGCGAAGGCGGCCCCCUGGACAGAUACUGACACUCAGAUGCGAAAGCGUGGGGAGCAAACAGGAUUAGAUACCCUGGUAG
rnacentral:rRNA from 1 species